rnacentral:lncRNA from 10 species
ACCUUUCCCCAUCCACCCUACCCUCAACCCUUCAAAGCUUCCAGUAAAACAACUAUGCUGCUCUCCACUUCGAUGAGAUCAACUUUUUAAAAUUUUACAUGCGAGGCUACAUCUGAUUCCAGUGGGGCUUUGUUAAUGCGAUCCUUUCUCACUGUACCUGUUGCCUGAUGUUCCAUUGAACUGAGCUUAUCAAGAAGUGCAAUACUGGUGAAAAAGUUAUCGAAUACAAAAUGAUAUUGU